UACAGAGGGUGCAAGCGUUGUUCGGAAUUAUUGGGCGUAAAGCGCGUGUAGGCGGCUUUGCAAGUCGGGUGUGAAAUCCCUCAGCUCAACUGAGGAAGUGCGCCCGAAACUGCUUAGCUUGAGUGCCGGAGAGGAUGGCGGAAUUCCCCAAGUAGAGGUGAAAUGCGUUGAUAUCGGAAGGAACGCCGGUGGCGAAAGCGGCCGCCUGGACAGUCACUGACGCUGAGAUGCGAAAGCGUGGGGAGCAAACAGG
rnacentral:rRNA from 1 species